CUAGAAAGUAUUAACUAAGGGACUUACUGUUAGGUAUGUUCUAGGACUAAUAUGAUAUUGAGGGAAACCAGUUCACUUUUCUCAGCUAUGCUUCUACUACAGACAGGUGGAACAUCUACAAAUAUGUAAUACUAAAAAAUUCAUAUCCAAGCUCAAAACUAGGAAAGGGUUGUCCUUAUAUCCUAAAAAUGAAGGUGGAACUUAAAUCUAGAAAAAUAAUCUAGAAAAAUAAGCUUUAGCUUCCUAUGCAGGAACACUCGCACCAACACAUACACAGUGACACACAGAGGCACACACAGGCAGACACACACAGUCAUACACACAGACACACACUGAGACACACCCACAGGCACAUACAGGCAUACACACAAACACACACACAGGCACACCGGCAUGCACAGGCACACACACACACAGGCACACACACUGACACACACAGGCACACACAGGCAUACACACACACACAUAGACACACAGGAAUACACAGGCACACACAGGCAUACACACAGACACACACACACACUCACACAGGCAUACACAGGCAUACACACAGACACACACAGGCAUACACACAGACACACAUAUACACAGGCACACACAGGAACACACAGACACAUGCAUAGCAGGACACAUGCAUACACACGAGAAUGCUGGGGCACACACACAGUCAUUGUUAUGGGUGGAAAGGGGGACAAUGGAUAUUUAUUAGAAAAGAAGAUUUAUUAGAAAAGAAGAUGGAUAGAGAAGUAGGUAGUAUAUUUAAAUUGAUAAUUUAUAACGGGAAAAUAGAUGCCCAAAAUUGAAGACAAUUUUAUCAUACAAAAUCUUGAGUAGAAUCAGAAACAAGCUUUAUUUGUUAUAGACACAGUAUAGUGAAUUUUCUUAGCAUCAAAUGCCACAGAAUUUUCAAUACCAUCAGAGAGAAAAUAAAUAUUCCCAAAAUCAUAAGAUAAUAUAUUGCAUCAGACUGUCAUUAGCAAUGAGAGAUGCCAGUAGACAGUGCUUUUUAUGUGUUGAAAUUGGUGGAGGAGAAUAAUUAUAAAACUAAAAUUCUAUAUGAACCAGAUUCAUGACAAAAGGUGAAAUAAAGGUACUUUAGAGGAGACUGAAUUUACUUU
rnacentral:lncRNA from 1 species